rnacentral:rRNA from 1 species
AUGGACUAUUCCAAAAUGGGCAGUACGAAAGCUAAGGAGAUGAUCGCGGGCAAGCGUGUGACCGUGGUUGGGUACCUAAAAUCAGCACUCGACAUUGCUGCUGAAUGUGCAGAAGUGAAUGGCACGGAGCAACCGUGUACGAAGAUAGUCCGAACAAAGCAUUGGAUCAUACCCGACUACUGCGCUUGGGGUGUCCACAUAUCAAAGUUGUAUCUGAACCGCUUCUCUGAACUCCUUAUUCACAAGCCUGGUGAAGGUUUCCUCCUGAGCCUCUUGGCCACCACCUUGACUCCAUUGCGGUGGAUAUUUUCAAAGUUCGCUGAGAGCUACUACUCCAUUCCAAUGAAGAAGUAUGACAUGGUACCUGGCCAUAGCCUUUUCGAGGCGUUGGUGACAUGCUUGAUUGCCAUCACGCCCAAAGAUCACUACAAGAGACUAGAGGAAGGUAGCAUUGUUCUGAAGAAGUCCAAGACCUUUAGUUUCUGCAAGGAAGGUGUGCUUCUUGAAGGUGAAUCUUCACCGACAAAAAGCGAUAUAGUGAUCUUUGGAACUGGAUCAAGGGGGAUCAGAAGAUCAAGGAUAUGUUCACAUCAGAAUACUUUCAGAAGAUUGCGGUUGGAUCAACAUCCACAAUUGUGCCUCUUUAUAGGGAAUGCAUCCAUCCUAAGAUUCCGCAGCUCGCAGUCAUCGGAUAUUCAGAGAGCUUAG